rnacentral:rRNA from 1 species
GACGUAGGGCGCGAGCGUUGUCCGGAUUUAUUGGGCGUAAAGAGCUCGUAGGCGGCUUGUCGCGUCGACUGUGAAAUCCCGCGGCUCAACCGCGGGUCUGCAGUCGAUACGGGCAGGCUAGAGUUCGGUAGGGGAGACUGGAAUUCCUGGUGUAGGCGGUGAAAUGCGCAGAUAUCAGGAGGAACACCGGUGGCGAAGGCGGUUCUCUGGGCAUGUCCUGACGCUGAGGAGCGAAAGCGAGGGGGAGCGAACGG